UUUGAAUAGUGCAUCUCCUUUAUUUGCUGAAAAUUUAACAGAUUUUCUUUCUCUUCUUUCUAGCAGUAUAGAUUACAUCUGAAUGUGCAUCUUCAUGACAUGAUGCUAACACUACCGUCGAUGUUGUAAACAAAAUUCAGAGGCAUUCACACUCCUUAAACAUUGGUACAACUAUACAAAAUUCAGAGGUAUUCACACUCCUUAAACAUUGGUACAUCUGUACCACCCAAUUAGGAACCUUAAUAAGGACUGAAACCUAGGAUUAAUCGACAGGAUAACGGCUGUAAUCUGGACCAUCCUCUGUCACAAUCACCAUGGCUGUUUUGGGGAACAAAAGACUUGGUUUACAUCGACACCACAGCUCACGACUCAGUUUAACAACACCCCCGUCCUCCCCCUCCUCCUCAAGGCUUCUGAUCUGAUCCUGCUGCUGCUUCUUGAUAACCAAAAGCUAGAUGAGGAGCCUGCUGCAAGUAAAAAGGAACAAUGGUAUUAGGCGCAUCGUAGAUUCAAAAUCGCCUUGAGAAGUACCGGAGGGUGAGUCCUUUUUUCUGUUAUUGAUGCUAUAUAUUCUAGGUUUAACCGGGUAAAAUAGUUAUGCUCGUUUCCACAAUCGUCCGGGAAAUUUCUUUUUCAUCAGUAUAUGGCAUGCCAAAACAAUCAUAAGCUGAAGUUGAGGAGGAACAAAGAAAAAGUGCUCCCGAGCAGGAUUCCGUUUUAUGGACAGCCGACAACAAUUGGAGUCUGGAUCACUCCAGAUUGUGGCAGAUGAGCAUGUGAACCAAAAUUUAUCUCACAUGAAUGAGUAGCUUUCCUUUUCCUUUUUUUUUGUGCGUGCAGCUAGGCAACAAGCUGAUUCAUCUGCUGUGGUACAAAGAAGAAUCACAUGCGUCUUGUCCAGUUCUGCCAGGACGAUAUAAUCCUCCAUUUGAAGUGGGAAUAGGAAGAAGUGGGGGUUUCCGGAAUGGCGGUUGAAGCUCUCCUUGACGAUCUGGACACCGUCGCAGCAGCCGAGCAACCACACGACGGCGCUUCCUCUUCCCAGCAGCAGCUCACCGUGGACAGCUACGGCCUGAGUGGGCCACUGUUCCUGGCGCAGCCAACAACCACUGCAGCAAGCACAUAUCUGCAUGCUGCAGUCACCAGCCCUGGGCUGUGCAGCGUCAACAGCAGCCUUGGAGAAAACCAAUUUCAGAUUGCCGCAGGGGGUAGCCCUGAGCACCGCAGGAUCAGAUCAAACGAUGCGCUUCACUACAUAAGCCAGAUGCUGAUGGAGGACGUCGACGAGGCACCGGUCGGCGUGUGCCAAGAGGAGGCUGCUGCUCUCCAGGCCGCCGAGAAGCCAUUCCGUGACAUCCUUGGGCCGGUAUACCCGCCGGCUACUAACUGGCAACAAUUGCAUAGCAGCAAUGGAACAGGUAACUCUGGUAAGAGCUGGACCAGCCGUUACAAGAGGCUCUGGAGCACUAGCUUCGGUGAUAACGACUGUUCCAGUUACAGCGUGUUACAGCCCUUAACAACAUACCCGUUGAGUCUAUAUACCUGCAAUAGGAGUCUUCUUUCUCUGCAAAAACGUCCGUUGAUAAGUGUUGGGCCGACAUGUAGAUCUGGUUUCCCCGCCUUGCAUCGUCAGAGAGGAGGCGUCGAGGAGGCACCGACUGUUGCUCCAAGUAUUGAUAAGCUGGUGAUAUGUUUAGAGAAUGGCAUACUUUCUAUCACCAGACUGACCACAAAGGCGAAAGUAGGAGGGAGGAGCGAAAAUGCAAUUUUUGAGGUGGCAGACCCAAGGGAGGAGUGGGAUGUCUUGGAAAGAAGGAGCAACAAACAUCUUGCCUUCACCGCUUGUGCAAUAAUUCGAAAUGAAAAUUUCGACCGGAUUCUGCUAUGCUAUGGUCGGAAGAGUUUGGGACAAAUAGCAAGACCACAAAGAGGGAUGAUGGCAGAGGAAGGCAACAAGAGCUCGAUGAAAGGCCGGAGCAAAGGAGGUCAGAAGGUAUGGCAGAGGAAGCAACCGAGGAGAGAGUUGGUUGAUCUCAGGACUCUCCUCGUCCAUUGCGCACAAGCUAUGGCAGAACAUGACCACCUGUUGGCCAGUGACCUCCUAAAGAAGAUAAGGCAACACUCCUCAGCAGAUGGUGAUUGUACUCAGAGACUGGCAUUUUACUUGGCGGAUGGCCUCGAGGCACGCUUGGCUGGGAUCGGGAGUCAGGUUUAUCGCAACCUCAUGGAGAGGCGAACAAGUAGCACCGAUUGGUUAGAUGCUUGCAGCCAUUUUCUUGCAUCCUGCCCUUUCGACAGGACGUCACACUACUUUGCCAGCCAAGCAAUUCUUGAUGUUUCACAAGGGCAACCAAGGGUGCACAUCGUUGAUUUCGGUAUCGGCUUCGGCCUUCAAUGGCCAUUAAUGAUUCAGAGGUUCUCACUGCAAGAAGAGGGAGCCCCUAAGCUUCGGAUCACAGGUAUAGACGUUCCCCAGCCAGGUUUCCACCCCUGCGAAAUGAUUGAGGAGACAGGGAAGCGGUUGGCUGAUUAUGCACACAUGUUCAAGGUACCUUUUCAGUAUCAGGGCAUUGCCGCCUCAAGAUGGGAUACCAUUAAAAUUCAGGAUCUUAACAUCGACGAGGAUGAAGUUCUGAUAAUCAACUGCAUGUUCCGGAUGAAGAAUCUUGGUCAUGACACCGAAGCUGUAAAUAGUAGGGAUAAGGUGCUCAAAACUAUGAGGAGGAUGAAGCCAAAGAUUUUUAUUUCUGGCAUAGUGAACGGGUUACGCAGUUCUCCCUUCUUCAUACAACGUUUCAAAGAGGUCAUGUUCCAUUACUCUUCAAUGUUUGACAUGCUUGAUGCAAAUGUUCAACGGGAUAAUAAAGCAAGGAAGUUGAUUGAGAAGAUCCUAUUUGGGCAGGAUGCACUUAACAUCAUAGCAUGUGAAGGCGCAGAGAGAACUGAGAGGCCGGAGAGUUACAGGCAGUGGCAAGCAAGGUGCCUCAAGGCUGGGUUCCAGCAGCUUCCCGUCGAUCCAGCCAUCUUAAAGAACAUAGUACAAAUGAAGAACCCACUUUCUCAUGAGGAAUUCUUCGUUAAUGAAGAUUGCGGUUGGCUGCUACAAGGAUGGAAAGGGAGAGUACUUUAUGCUGUUUCUAAAUGGAAACCUAAUGAAACAUAUGAUGAUAAGUAACAUUCAAACACUUUUACCUUUCCAGAGAUUACAUGUGAAAUGAUGCAUGAUUAGGUACUUUAUGCUGUUGACGACGUCGCUGUUCAAGUUUCCGGCAAAGGCCACAGUGGCCAACAACUCUGUUUUACCUUUUCGAAUAUUUCUUUGACACUUACUCGCAUGUGGCUAGACUGACCACAAUUAAGCCCCUACCCCUAAGUUCUAGUGCCCCUCUUUUUUUCGUUUUCUUUUUUCUUUCUUUAUGGAUUUUCAGUCGGUUUUCCCUAAUUAGCCGACAAUGUUAGGUUUUCGGGUCCGGUUUUUCCUUAUAAACCAGACCAACUCUCUUCUUCUUAAUGAAAUGCAGGAACCCCUGCCCCCUCUUGAGGUGUCCUAAAAAAAUAAAUAAAUUAAGCACUAUUAUCUUUGUCUGCCUCAAAUGCUAAUCUCCUUCUUCUGGUAGUAUAGAUGGAAUUUGAAUCCAGACAUGCAUUUUCAUGACACGAUAACUUCUUUAAAGACUUAUAUUUAGGAACGGAGGGAGUAUAUGAUAAUUUCUGAUUUGAAGACGGCAAUUCUACUUUAACAUAAGUGGAAUCCAAUAGAAUGCGCUGAUAUUCACACAUCACAAAUAAGUGGAGUUCCAACUUGUGUACUUCAGUCCAUGUCUUUUGAUCAUUCAGAUUGGAAAUUUGAAGAUCAUGUGCAUAGAUUUCCUUCUUUCUCAAAGCAUACGUGGACGAGAUUAGGUGGUGAGCUCCUAGCAGAUCACUAGGGCCACAGCGACACGGGGAAUCAAAUCAGAGAGGGAGAGGGGGGAGGGACCUUGGAGACCGAGGUGGGCGAGGGGAAGAGGCCCUACGCGUCGUCUUCGUUCGCUUACGCCGCCGCCGGCGACCUCUCCUGGCGGCCAUGGAGAGAGAGGCCACGGAGGGAGAACAGAAUUCCGCCUUCGUAAAGCGUUUACGCACUAACGGAUGUGCUGAGUCGUGUUUUAACUGGAC
rnacentral:lncRNA from 1 species